UACGUAGGGUGCGAGCGUUGUCCGGAAUUAUUGGGCGUAAAGGGCUCGUAGGCGGUCUGUUGCGUCGGGAGUGAAAACUCAGGGCUUAACCCUGAGCCUGCUUCCGAUACGGGCAGGCUAGAGGUAUGCAGGGGAGAACGGAAUUCCUGGUGUAGCGGUGAAAUGCGCAGAUAUCAGGAGGAACACCGGUGGCGAAGGCGGUUCUCUGGGCAUUACCUGACGCUGAGGAGCGAAAGCUAGGGUAGCAAACGGG
rnacentral:rRNA from 1 species